rnacentral:rRNA from 1 species
GAUCAUGGCUCAGGAUGAACGCUAGCUACAGGCUUAACACAUGCAAGUCGAGGGGCAGCAUCAUCAAAGCUUGCUUUGAUGGAUGGCGACCGGCGCACGGGUGAGUAACACGUAUCCAACCUGCCGACAACACUGGGAUAGCCUUUCGAAAGAAAGAUUAAUACCGGAUGGCAUAAUUAUUCCGCAUGGGAUAAUUAUUAAAGAAUUUACGGUUGUCGAUGGGGAUGCGUU